rnacentral:misc_RNA from 1 species
CUGAGUGCGGGCCCCUCGCGGGCCUAACCUCCCACCCGUGUCUCUUGAAUACCCUGUUGCUUUGGCGGGCCCACCGGGAAGCCCCGGUCGCCGGGGGGCACUGCGCCCCCGGGCCCGCGCCCGCCAGAGCGCCUAUGAACCCUAAUGAAGAAGGACUGUCUGAGUGUGAGAUAUAAUGGUCA